rnacentral:ncRNA from 2 species
AUAAACACUUGGGGGAGCAUAGAAGCUGAGAGGAUGACUUACUUAAGCCGUCGACCCUUAAACCUGACCUAGGUAAUACUAGCGUAGGAAAAGUAGAAAUAGGUAAA